rnacentral:lncRNA from 1 species
GGAAGAGCAAGACAUGGUCCUGGUGCAUGAAAGGAGCCUAAGAAAGAAGAGUGAAAGCUGCACGUGUGUGAGUAUCUAGCAGAACAUCUAGAAAAUGCACACCAACCUCCAGCAGCAGAAAACAGUCUACCUCCAGAAAGCCAUAAAAGAGAAAAGAAUGUUGUACCAAACUAAGCAAAUGAAGCAUGAAAUGAAAAGCCGGUUGAGCUGGGAGGUAUAAAGAAUGGAAAGGAAGCAGCUACCACCCCUGGUAACCCCAUCAAUCCGGAGAAGCUUCGCAGAGUUACACUGUGCUCUGUCGGGAAGGAAAUGAAUUUUCCUCAUUGUACACAUUCCGAGAAAAAUGAGGCUAAGACUAUUUCAAAGGAUGUUCUACCUAAUUCGAAUGGGCUUUAAGUGCCAUCUUCACAAUAGCGCCAGAGUCUGGUGUCAGCAAACUGAACAAAUAGAGCUACAGGGAGCGAAUGGGGCUGGGUGCCUCUCCAAAACAUAUGCAGAUGAACUUGAGAUUUCAGAGGACGGUUAAUCCUACACAGCAGUCAAGUGCCUUCCCAGGGGUAUGUCUCAGAUCUCAGGGCUCCCUUCCAAACACUGGCUGCCACGUCAAACCAAAGGGGACGAGCAAUCAGACUCACCUCAAACGCCAGUUAAGAAAGCCGGCCUUACUUAAGCAAUCAAGGGCAAGUGAUCAGCCAACUCUGCUUUCUUUCCUUUCUCUUGGAUCAUUUAUAGACCUUGUGGCCGUGGCCACCACAUUGAGAAGCCCUUGGUCUCUACUUGGACUCACUAUAGCAGAGCAUCCUGGCAGGCAUCCACUGUGCCAUAUGCUUUCGGGAAGUCUGGAUGCUGAAUGUGGUGGCUGUGGGGAAUUGAGCCUUAUUGCUUCAUAAGAUUCCUGGUGGUAGAACUAUUCUGAACAAGAACACGUCCGUCCCCAUAGGUGUGCUCCAAGAAUCACAGAAUAAGAAGGGACUUCGGAGAGAGCCUCACACAGUUGGGCAAUGGGAGCCCAGAGAGGCAAGGAAGGCUCCUUGCCCAAAGUCUUGUACAUCUGAAUCUGCAACUCCUGACUAUUUUUGAGUCUUAUGCUCCAGGCUAAAACUUGUGACUUUAAGUGUGAUGUUCUCGGUGAUGAUUAAUCUAGGAUGUUUCUGUUGUUUUCUUACCGUCAAAGAAUUAACAUCAAAAGGAAAGGAAGGAAGAAAUGUAGAAGUGAAGGCAAGAAGGAAGGAAGGAGGAAAGGAAGGAAGGAAAAUAUAGGCUUUGGGUAAAAAUAAGUUUCUACUCAACACUGACAAAGGUACAGGUUUUGGACAUUGGUUUCCUAAUCUGUAAAUGAGGAAUAGUCAUCACAUCGCUGUCCUGGCUGGUUUUGUGUGUCAACUUGACACAAGCUGGAGUUAUCACAGAGAAAGGAAAGAAAAUGCCUCCAUGAGAUCUAGCUGUAAAUGGAUUAGUGAUCAAGAGUGGGAGGGCCCAGUGUGGGUGGUGCCAUCCCUGGACUGGUGGUCCUGGGUUCUACAAGAAAACAAGCUGAGCAAGCCAGGGGAAGCAAGCCAGGGGAACAUCCCUCCACGGCUCUGCAUCAGCUCCUGCUUCCUGCCCUGUGUGAGUUCCAGUCCUGACUUCCUUUGGUGACGAACAGCAAUGUGAUAGUAUAAGCUGAAUAAACCCUUUCCUCCCCAAC